CGGCCCGCCCGGGUACAUGGUUGUCGGAUUCGAGGUCGUCCCUUGCAGCUUCCAGCAUGACACCGAGUCGAUAAAGAAUUUGAAGAUGUACGAGAAGUAUCCGGCGAAGAUACAGUGUGAUCCGACAACCGUUGCCAUGGCGGCGAAGGAGAACCAGCCGUUGGUGUUUACUUAUGAGGUCUCGUUUGUCGAGAGUGACAUCAAGUGGCCGUCUCGGUGGGACGCAUAUCUGAAGAUGGAGGGGGCGAAGGUUCACUGGUUUUCGAUACUGAAUUCGCUGAUGGUGAUAGCCUUUCUUG
rnacentral:misc_RNA from 1 species